GUAUCUGUAUUUUUCAAUUUAUUAAUUUCCAUUGAUUCUAAAAGUGAUAGCUUAAGGCCUUUAUUUUGAAUAUAUAGAACUAAAUAUCAUUAGACAAAUAGCAGUAAACAAUGGCUAUAACGAACAAACAGUUAACAACAUUUUAAACCAAAAACUCCAUAAGAAAGCCUUGAAAUUAGUGUAUCCACCACCACAGAAAGAACCCAGUACCUUCUGCUCUCUCACAUAUACUGGCAAAAUAACAACAAAAAUAGCCAGAUACAUAAAAAAGAAAGAAAUAACACCAGCUUUCAGAACUAACAACAACUUAAGCAAACAUAUUAAAAACAAUAAAAGCCGAAAGAGAAAGCAACUACAGAGUGGUGUGUACAAACUAACUUGUGGUGACUGUCCGAAAACUUACAUCGGUCAAACUGGCAGAACUUUUGACAAACGGAUAGCAGAACACAAAAGGGCUUUCAACAAUAGAAAAACAGACACUUCUACAUACGCACUUCACCUUCUAGAUCAUAAUCAUUCUUUCAAUGAAGAGUUUCAAAUUCUACAUAUUCAAAAUAAAGGCCUUAAGCUAUCACUUUUAGAAUCAAUGGAAAUUAAUAAAUUGAAAAAUACAGAUAUAAUUCUGAAUGACCAACUCGAGACAAACAGCUCCCCACUCCUCAACCUCUUCAGUUAAAGACUUAAAAAGGCAAACAAAUUGUAAAAUAUAUCACUUGAGAAAGGCACUUUGCCGAAACAGCUGUAGUAAUAACAUAGUUGUAAUAAAUUUUGUGGAAGUAUAGAAAAACAAA